rnacentral:rRNA from 1 species
UACGAAGGGGGCUAGCGUUGCUCGGAAUGACUGGGCGUAAAGGGCGCGUAGGCGGAUUGUACAGUCAGGCGUGAAAUUCCCGGGCUCAACCUGGGGGCUGCGCUUGAGACGUGCGAUCUUGAGUGGGGAAGAGGGUCGUGGAAUUCCCAGUGUAGAGGUGAAAUUCGUAGAUAUUGGGAAGAACACCGGUGGCGAAGGCGGCGACCUGGUCCUUGACUGACGCUGAGGCGCGAAAGCCAGGGGAGCGAACGGG